rnacentral:rRNA from 1 species
GACGAACGCUGGCGGCGCGCCUAACACAUGCAAGUCGAACGGAGCUGAGAGAAGCUUGCUUUUCUUAGCUUAGUGGCGAACGGGUGAGCAACGCGUGAGUAACCUGCCCUGGAGUGGGGGACAACAGUUGGAAACGACUGCUAAUACCGCAUAAGCCCACGAUCCGGCAUCGGAUUGAGGGAAAAGGAUUUAUUCGCUUAAGGAUGGACUCGCGUCCAAUUAGCUAGUUGGUGAGGUAACGGCCCACCAAGGCGACGAUUGGUAGCCGGACUGAGAGGUUGAACGGCCACAUUGGGACUGAGACACGGCCCAGACUCCUACGGGAGGCAGCAGUGGGGGAUAUUGCACAAUGGGGGAAACCCUGAUGCAGCGACGCCGCGUGGAGGAAGAAGGUUUUCGGAUUGUAAACUCCUGUCGUUAGGGACGAUAAUGACGGUACCUAACAAGAAAGCACCGGCUAACUACGUG